CCUACGGGGUGCAGCAGUGAGGAAUAUUGGUCAAUGGACGAGCGUCUGAACCAGCCAAGUAGCGUGAAGGAUGACUGCUCUAUGGGUUGUAAACUUCUUUUAUAUGGGAAUAAAACGUUCCACGUGUGGGAUUUUGUAUGUACCAUAUGAAUAAGGAUCGGCUAACUCCGUGCCAGCAGCCGCGGUAAUACGGAGGAUCCGAGCGUUAUCCGGAUUUAUUGGGUUUAAAGGGAGCGUAGGUGGAUUGUUAAGUCAGUUGUGAAAGUUUGCGGCUCAACCGUAAAAUUGCAGUUGAAACUGGCAGUCUUGAGUACAGUAGAGGUGGGCGGAAUUCGUGGUGUAGCGGUGAAAUGCUUAGAUAUCACGAAGAACUCCGAUUGCGAAGGCAGUUCACUGGACUGCAACUGACACUGAGGCUCGAAAGUGUGGGUAUCAAACAGGAUUAGAUACCCCUGUAGUC
rnacentral:rRNA from 1 species